rnacentral:rRNA from 1 species
UACGAAGGGGGCUAGCGUUGCUCGGAAUUACUGGGCGUAAAGGGCGCGUAGGCGGCCGAUCAAGUCAGGCGUGAAAUUCCCGGGCUCAACCUGGGGGCUGCGCUUGAGACUGGUUGGCUAGAGGCCGAGAGAGGGUGGUGGAAUUCCCAGUGUAGAGGUGAAAUUCGUAGAGAUCGGGAGGAACAUCAGUGGCGAAGGCGGCCAUCUGGGACAACACUGACGCUGAGGCACGAAAGCGUGGGGAGCAAACAGG